AUUGAACGCUGGCGGCAUGCUUUACACAUGCAAGUCGAACGGUAACAGGGUGCUUGCACCGCUGACGAGUGGCGAACGGGUGAGUAAUGCGUCGGAACGUGCCGAGUAGUGGGGGAUAACGCAGCGAAAGUUGUGCUAAUACCGCAUACGUACUGAGGUAGAAAGUGGGGGACCUUCGGGCCUCACGCUAUUCGAGCGGCCGACGUCUGAUUAGCUAGUAGGUGAGGUAAAGGCUCACCUAGGCGACGAUCAGUAGCGGGUCUGAGAGGAUGAUCCGCCACACUGGGACUGAGACACGGCCCAGUCUCCUACGGGAGGCAGCAGUGGGGAAUUUUGGACAAUGGGCGAAAGCCUGAUCCAGCCAUGCCGCGUGUGUGAAGAAGGUCUUCGGAUUGUAAAGCACUUUAAGUUGGGAGGAAGGGUCGUAGAUUAAUACUCUGCAAUUUUGACGUUACCGACAGAAUAAGCACCGGCUAACUCUGUGCCAGCAGCCGCAGUAACAC
rnacentral:rRNA from 1 species